CUUAACCAUGCAGCAUUACCACAAAGGUCUCAGACUCUUCACGGUGAUGGCAGUGAACAUUGUCAGGUGGAUUUUCUCUUUAGCCUUGUGCUUCAUGUGUGUAUCUUCACAUGAUGAGACCUAUGACAUGGACUAUGACAUGGACUAUGACAUGGCCUAUGACAUGGCCUGUGAAGACGAGGAGUUCUGUGACACUCAGACACUCUUUGCUCUGCUUGGUUCGUCUGUGCUUCUCCCAUGUCCCAUGACCAAGAGCCUCAGCGUUUCCUGGGUCCGUACCCCUGACUUGGAGCUGGUCAAGCUCUCUUCGAGGGGACGGAUAAACUUCCUGGACCCUAAACGUGGGCGUCUGAAGGCCUUUCCACUUCUGGCCACACAAAAAAACUUCACCAUCCGCAUUGAUGAGCUUGAGAAAUCGGAUCUCGGGUGUUAUCGCUGCAGAACCAGCGACGCUUGUCUGCAAGUGGAGCUGGCUGAAGCGACAGGGAACAAAGACAUGUGGCUGCUAAUUUACAUCUGUGCUGGGGUGGCGGCGUUCAUCUUGCUGAGUCUCUGCAUCUACUUGAUCAUUAGUCAAAGAAAAAGGGCCAGAGAAAACCAGCCUGCAGGUGCCAGUAUUGAAGUUGCAGGUCCCAGUGCUCCAGCUCAGGAUCCAAACAUUGCACCCGUCCAAGAGCAAGGAUUGGACAACAGCGUUUAUGAGAACGAUGACUUCGACCCGGCCAACUACCUGGGCCACCCCGCCAGGAGCACGCCUAGCGCACCCGAAGUCUCAGCUGGCGUGAACCAAGCGGAAGAUGCUCCGAGCGCCAGUGAGAUUUAUCCAAACCUGAACCCGUUCAACUUUGAAAGGGCGGAAAGCCAGAAAACAAAACACAGGUUUCAUACAGAACUCAUGAGCAGAUUACGACAAGCAAGUUUACGUCGACAUUAUUAUGUCAACCAGCAUGAGCUAAACAAGCAAAAAGCCAAACCCACAGAGGGGGAGACACAUCACAGAGGUAUUUUGAUGUCAUUGCUUUGUAGCCUAUCAGUUAUUUCUCUGAAUGGAAGUAUUAGGAAGUGCUACAUUUUUCACUCUAGAGCUUUGUUCUGCAGGUGCUGA
ensembl:lncRNA uncharacterized LOC114868511